GAUGAAGAACGCAGCGAAAUGCGAUACUUGGUGUGAAUUGCAGAAUCCCGUGAACCAUCGAGUCUUUGAACGCAAGUUGCGCCUCAAGCCAUUAGGUUGAGGGCACGUCUGCCUGGGCGUCACAUAUCGUUGCCUGAUGCCAGUUUCCUCGUGAUGGGUGACUGUGCAGGGCGAAUGAUGGCUUCCCGUGAGCAUUGUUGCCUCAUGGUUGGUUGAAAAUUGAGUCCUUGGUAGGGAGCGCCGUGAUAGAUGGUGGUUGAGUGACGAACGAGACCCAAUCAUGUGAGACCCCUACCGAAUUUGGCCUUCAUGACCCACAUGCGUCUUUGGAACGCUCAUGACGAGACCUCAGGUCAGGCGGGGCUACCCGCUGAGUUUAAGCAUAUCAAUAAGCGGAGGU
rnacentral:misc_RNA from 1 species